ACCCAUUCAUUAUAGAGAGAGAAACCGCCCCAUUCAUAUUCAGCAACAUAAACCCAUUCUUUCAAUUAAUGAAACAAGCAUUUAAGCCCUUUAGCCUUUCACUUAUGGAACGGUGCAGAUACUCCCAUUUCUCUCACACGUGCUUAUCUUCAGGUAGCCAUAAGCCAUGGCAGGUUGUACUCAAAGGUAAUAUCUUUGCAUGGAAAAAUACAUGUUGGUUGCUGAUACUAUUUUGAGAUCAAGUAAAUAAUUGGUUCAAGCUUGCAUGUUUAGAUUAAUGACAUUGGGAUUGUUUGAUGCACAUCAUUGCUGUAUUUGAAGUACCAAUUGGAUGGUUUUUUGUAAUUUUUUCUUCUUUUUUCAAAAGUAAAGUUUUCAAUUUUAUAGAUCUACAUUAUUGGGACAAAAUCGUGUAAAUCUUCUAACAAUGGUAGGUACCAAUUUUAAUUAUGGCAAUGGAUAGGUACCUCUUAUCAGGUAUGAAUUUGUCUAUAUUCUAAGCUCAAUUGUCAAUUUGAAUUAUUAAAUUUAGAUUUAUAUGGUGCAAAAACCUUUGGUUAUUGUUGUAGAUAACUUUGGAGCUAAAUAGAGAUGAUGCAUCUAUCUUCCACAAGGAUUUUUUUUUUUUUUUGGAUGAACUGCUAUUGAAAGUAUCGACUACUUUUUUUUUGGUUAUUUAGAGGGAAAAACGAGUAUUCAUUGUUAUUUGUCAAGGAUAUGCAAUUGCUUUUAAUAGCAUCAAAGUAAAUUUUAAUCAAUGACAUAUUCAAUUUUAUGAUGACAACAUAAUAAAAUUUAGAUUUGUAUAUUAUUAAUAUGACAAACUUUAUGAUGUUAUUUCUUAUGUCAUGCUCACUGCUAAUUAUAAACUCCCUCCGUUUCAAAAUACAUGUCCAUUUUGGAGAAAUUGCACUAACCAAGAAACCAAAUAAAUUUUGUUAUUUUUUAUGAAAAUAUGUGUGUGUUUUCUAUAAUACCCUUAAUCAUUUAUUAUUUCAUUUUAUUUUUUUCUCUCUCUACAAUAAAUAUGCAAGGGUAUUAUUGACAAGACAAUAAUUAAUGUUGUAUUGAAACUUGAAAGUGACAAGUAUUGUGAAACAAAAUUAUUCUCUAAAAUGGACAAGUAUUAUGAAACGGAGGGAGUAUUACUUAUGCUCAUGUAACAUGAUGCAGCUUUAAUUGGUAGUUGAUAUUAUAUCAUAUAUGAAAAAGUCAAAGCAAAGACAUUCCUUUUCUUGAUAAUGCUUACAACUUGGUAUAUGAACUUUGUCUUCUAUUGAGACAUUAAACAAUGACAUUCACGUUAAAGCAUUGCCUUGAUUUUCAUAUACCAUAUUUGUGUUUGUCUGUAGAGAAAAAUCCAUUGACAAUGACAUAUCAAUGCUUUGGCAAAGCUUUAAUUUUGUCCCAUAGUGUAUUGGCCAAAAAUGCUUUGACAAUGACAUAUCAAUGCUUUGGCAAAGCUUUAAUUUUGUCCCAUAGUGUAUAGGCCAAAAAUGUGUUUCAUUUUUCCAACACAAUAUUUCAUCUGUCCUUAAUCAAACACAAACCUAUCCAUUUAAAAAAUCAGCAAUGCAACAUUCUUCUCUAACAUAAAUUUCUUCAACAAUGGAACCAAAUGAUCCAUCAAGUAAAGGGAUGAAGAAAAAAUUAACAGUUGCACAAAGCAAUUUUAUCAACAAAGGUAUGUCCAAAUGUUCUUCACCAUGUCAAAUAUAUAUUACUUGGGUAAUGAAAUGGAUAAUAUUAUUUCCAAUCAUGAUAGUUAUUUUAUUACCAUUGUAGAGAAUGUGUUUUGCACUAAAUCUUCAAUGAAACAAGUUAACAAGUUAUCCAGGGAGCCUUUUAGAAGUCCUCUUUCUCCAUUGAUGAAUG
rnacentral:lncRNA from 1 species